AGCAGCGUGGCUCAGUGGAAAGAGCCUGGGCUUGGGAGUCAGAGGUCAUGGGUUCGACUCCCGGGCUCUGCCA
rfam:Ornithorhynchus anatinus chromosome 6, whole genome shotgun sequence.